UUCCACUCAUUGGUACAAACUCCAAACAUUCUUCCAAAUUCGACCUCAAAUCAGGUAGGACUACCCGCUGAACUUAAGCAUAUCAAUAAGCGGAGGAAAAGAAACCAACAGGGAUUGCCUUAGUAGCGGCGAGUGAAGCGGCAAAAGCUCAAAUUUGAAAUCUGGCACUUUCAGUGUCCGAGUUGUAAUUUGAAGAAGGUAUCUUUGGGUCUGGCUCUUGUCUAUGUUUCUUGGAACAGAACGUCACAGAGGGUGAGAAUCCCGUGCGAUGAGAUGACCCAG
rnacentral:rRNA from 1 species